rnacentral:rRNA from 1 species
GGACUACUGGGGUUUCUAAUCCUGUUUGCUCCCCACGCUUUCGUGACUCAGUGUCAGUGCUGGUCCAGGUAGCCGCCUUCGCCACUGGUGUUCCUCCCGAUCUCUACGCAUUUCACCGCUACACCGGGAAUUCCACUACCCUCUACCGCACUCUAGCUCCCCAGUAUCCACUGCAAUUCCCAGGUUGAGCCCGGGGCUUUCACAGCAGACUUAAGAAACCACCUACUCACGCUUUACGCCCAGUAAUUCCGAGUAACGCUUGCACCCUUCGUAUUACCGCGGCUGCUGGCAC